AAAGUACUCUGGCGCAGCCUGAUCCAGCAUGCCGCGUGCGUGAUGAAGGCCUUCGGGUUGUAAACUGCUUUUGUACGGAACGAAAAGGCUUCCACUAAUACUGGGGGCUCAUGACGGUACCGUAAGAAUAAGCACCGGCUAACUACGUGCCAGCAGCCGCGGUAAU
rnacentral:rRNA from 1 species